rnacentral:rRNA from 1 species
GACGAACGCUGGCGGCGUGCUUAACACAUGCAAGUCGAACGGAAAGGCCCUGCUUUUGUGGGGUGCUCGAGUGGCGAACGGGUGAGUAACACGUGAGUAACCUGCCCUUGACUUUGGGAUAACUUCAGGGAACUGGGGCUAAUACCGGAUAGGAGCUCCUGCUGCAUUGUGGGGGUUGGAAAGUUUCGGCGGUUGGGGCUGUACUCGCGGCGUAUCAGCUUGUUGGUGGGGUAGUGGCGUUCCCGGGCUUUGACGGGUAGACGGCCUGAGAGGGUGAGAGGCCACGCUGGGACUGAGAUACGGCCCAGACUCCUACGGGAGGCAGCAGUGGGGAAUAGUGCAAAGUGGGCGGGAGCCUGAUGCAGUAACGCCGCGUGGGGGAUGACGGCCUUCGGGUUGUAAACCGCUUUCGCCUGUGACGAAGCGUGAGUGACGGUAAUGGGUAAAGAAGCACCGGCUAACUACGUG